rnacentral:rRNA from 1 species
UCAGCAUAGAUCAAGAGGAGCGGGCAUUAAGCACGCCAAUCAGCAGCUCAAGAUGCCUUGCUUAACCACACCCCCAAGGGAAACAGCAGUGAUAAAAAUUUAGCAAUGAACGUAAGUUUGACUAAGUUAUGCUACUCUAGGGUUGGUAAAUUUCGUGCCAGCCACCGCGGUCAUACGAUUAACCCGAACUAAUAAACACCCGGCGUAAAGCGUGAUUAGAACUAAAGAUACAAAUAGAAUCAAAUAACAACUAAGCUGUAAAAAGUAAUAGUUGUAAACAAAAAUAAACAACGAAAGUGAUUCUACAACCUUCGAACUCACGAUAGCUAAGACCCAAACUGGGAUUAGAUACCCCACUAUGCUUAGCCCUAAACUUAAAUAAUUUCAUAACAAAAUUACUCGCCAG